AGAAAAUUAAUUAUUAUUAGUUUAUAGUUAUAUAUAUUUCUCCUUUAAAAUUAAAAUUAUUAGGUGAAAUUUUAAUUUUAUAAUAAUAAGUUUAUAAUUAAAGCUAUGAAAUCUAGAUAAUAAACAAGGAUUAGAUACCCUUUUAUUCUAGAUGUUAAUUUUAACUAGGGUAGUAAUAGUUAUGUUCUUGAAACCCAAAGAAUUUGGCGGUAUUUUAUUCUUUUUAGAGGAACCUGUCCUGUAAUUGAUAAUCCACGAUGAAGAGUUACUUAUUUUUGUUGUCAGUUUGUAUACCUCCGUCAUAAGAAUAUCUUUUUAGAGAAAAUAUUCUAUUAACACUAAAUGAGGAAUGUCAGGUCAAGGUGCAAUUUAUAAAUAAGUAGAGAUGGGUUACAAUAAAUGUAUUUAUAUAGAUUAUAAUUAUUAGUUAUUUAUAUGAAAGUGGAUUUAAAAGUAAAAUUAUUUACUUAUUAAUUUGAUUUAAGUUCUAAAAUAUGCACACAUCGCCCGUCGCUCUUAUUUUAAAAUAAGAUAAGUCGUAACAUAGUAGAUGUAUCGGAAGUUGUAUCUAGAAAGUA
rnacentral:rRNA from 1 species